CCUACGGGUGGCAGCAGUGAGGAAUAUUGGUCAAUGGACGAGAGUCUGAACCAGCCAAGUAGCGUGAAGGAUGACUGCCUUCUGGGUUGUAAACUCCUUUUUUAAAGGAAUAAAACGAGGCACGUGUGCCUUUUUGCACGUACUUUAUGAAUAUGGAUCGACUAACUCCGGUCCAUCAGCCGCGGUAAUACGGCGGAUCGGAGCGUGAUCCGGAUGUAAUGGGUUGAAAGGGAGCAUAGAUGGGUUGUUAAGUUAGAUGGGAAAGUGUAGGGCUCAACCGUAGAGUUGAGAUUGAUACUGGCAGACUUGAGUGCAGUUGAGGUAGGCGGAAUUCGUGGUGAAGCGGUGAAAUGCUUAGAUAUCACGAAGAACCCCGAAUGCGAAGGCAGCUUACUAAACUGUGACUGACAUUGAGGCACGAAAGUGUGGGUAGCAAACAGGAUUAGAUACCCGAGUAGUC
rnacentral:rRNA from 1 species